rnacentral:rRNA from 1 species
CCUACGGGAGGCAGCAGUGAGGAAUAUUGGUCAAUGGGCGAGAGCCUGAACCAGCCAAGUCGCGUGAGGGAAGACUGUCCUAUGGAUUGUAAACCUCUUUUGCCGGGGAGCAAAAAGCGGUACGUGUACCGCAUCGAGAGUACCCGGAGAAAAAGCAUCGGCUAACUCCGUGCCAGCAGCCGCGGUAAUACGGAGGAUGCGAGCGUUAUCCGGAUUUAUUGGGUUUAAAGGGUGCGCAGGCGGACAGUUAAGUCAGCGGUAAAAAUUCGGGGCUCAACCCCCAAAAAGCAGUUGAACCGGGCUGGCUAGAGUGGGCGAGAAGUAUGCGGAAUGCGUGGUGUAGCGGUGAAAUGCAUAGAUAUCACGAAGAACUCCGAUUGCGAAGGCAGCAUACCGGACUCCAACUGACGCUCAGGCACGAAAGUGUGGGUAUCGAACAGGAUUAGAUACCCUGGUAGUC